rnacentral:tRNA from 1 species
CAGGGAGACAACAAAAUGUUUAAUAUUAUUAUUUUGUCACCUUAGGUCGAUCGGUAUCUCACGUUCUUAAUUUAUUAAGAAUUUCAUUCCCUAAGUUUUUCUAGGUCACACCCAUUUUUUUUCCUGGGCCAUUAGCUCAGGUGGUUAGAGNGNACCCCUGAUAAGGGUGAGGNCCCUGGAUCAAGUCCAGGAUGGCCCAUAUCUCUAUGUUGGGGGUAUAGCUCAGUUGGUAGACCGCCUGCUUUGCAAGAAGGAUGCCAGNGGUUCGAGNCCGCUUACCUCCACUGAUUACCACCUCUUCCAUAAUCUGUANAAAGGAAAAAAUUUUGAGUUAUGACCAUUAUUCUGGACGAAUCCAGCUUCCUAAUGAAAUCAUUAAGACGUUGGACUCAUUGAAUUAAUUUCUUUGUUUUCACAGAACCUUGACAACUGUUUANAUUAUUUUAAAGACAAUAAGCAUCUUUAAUGAUGCAUAUUUAUUAUUUGUGCAAAUGCAUCAAUACCAAUUCUAUUAAGCUGAUGCUUCAAUUUUGAAGNNAU